CAACCCAAUGUAACCCAGAGUAAACCCAAUGAAAGAUGCAGUAGUUUGAGCCCAGGCACUAUCGAAUCCAGCCUGGUUCACUCCAAGGAGUGAGGUCCAUUUUGCCUCUCUCAAGGGGAGCCGGGGCCAGGUCACACCAUAGCCUUCACGGAAGAGUUUUCUGAAUGCUAUGGACAGCAGUGGGCAUUUGCUCAGGCUGCAGAGCUCAUCAGGUAAAACUUAAGCAGCACUGUGCUCUCACCGGCAAUGGAGUAGCUCCACCACCUGGGCUGCUGCCACGUAUUUGAAAAAAAAGAAAAAACAACAGUAAUUACGAGAUAAAGCUGUAAAAGCAUGUAAAUGGUAACACAAAGCUGGUCCUUCUGGUCCUGAACUUUUGCCACUGAACCAAGAGGAAUCUUUGCUUUACAAGCGUCCUGUUGUACUGUGCUGUGUUACAGCCUUUCAAAACCUAUAGAAGUCGCUGUCCCAAGAGGUAACAGUGAAGCGGAAGAAAGGAGCUAGCUAAUUUGUUUUUUUUCUGAUACAUACUGUAUUCAUGUACUUCCAUUAAAUACGUGAGUAUGGAAAAAAAAAAAAAAAAAAAAAAAAAAAAGCAGAUUUGGAGC